rnacentral:rRNA from 1 species
UUGGCCUUGACAUACUAAGAACUUCCCAGGGAUGGAUUGGUGCCUUCGGGAACUUAGAUACAGGUGCUGCAUGGCUGUCGUCAGCUCGUGUCGUGAGAUGUUGGGUUAAGUCCCGNAACGAGCGCAACCCUUUUCCUUAUUUGCCAGCGGGUCAUGCCGGGAACUUUAAGGAUACUGCCAGUGACAAACUGGAGGAAGGCGGGGACGACGUCAAGUCAUCAUGGCCCUUACGGCCAGGGCUACACACGUGCUACAAUGGUCGGUACAAAGGGUUGCUACCUCGCGAGAGGAUGCUAAUCUCAAAAAGCCGAUCGUAGUCCGGAUCGCAGUCUGCAACUCGACUGCGUGAAGUCGGAAUCGCUAGUAAUCGCGGAUCAGAAUGCCGCGGUGAAUACGUUCCCGGGCCUUGUACACACCGCCCGUCACACCAUGGGAGUUUGUUGCACCAGAAGUAGGUAGUCUAACCGCAAGGAGGACGCUUACCACGGUGUGGCCGAUGACUGGGGUGAAGUCGUAACAAGGUAGGCGUAGAUGA